UUCAAGGUAAGUGAUCAGAAUUCAUACAACAUGUUGCUUCUGGUCUAACAUGAGUUGUUGCCGUGGAACUUUGGUUUCCAAGUACAUGCUAAAAGUGGCAUAAGAAAAAUUAAAUUGUAAAAUUGAUAAUUAGGAGAAAGCUAAUAAAUUAACCUCCGGUGAAUUGUUAUCUGACAUUUAAGUAAAAGAGAAAUUGUACCCCUUAUAGAUUGCGAGAGCACAUCAACAAUAUUAAACAUGCAUUACAAACAACAUGGUGGAUCAAGCUCCAUAAACUACACUUGCCAAAUUUAUCAAUGGUAUAACGGUUUAAUGAUACAACCAAGAUCUACACAUUCUCUAUCUAUUCCCAUGAUAUUAAUACUUGUCUCUCGGUUUAACAUUUUUUACAUUUUUGAAAACUAUUAGAGCUGUGGUUGGAUAAUUGUAAUUUUGCUUCUAUAUGAAUAUAUAGCGAAGUGUAUAAAUAUCAAUUUUCAUUCA
rnacentral:lncRNA from 1 species